AAACGUGUUUUCUCCUUAGAUGCAGGUAUUGUUUAAUAAGGACUGAAGGUUUCAGUAUGAAGUCUCCUGAUCAGGAAGAAAGAGGAAUGUUUUUGGAGGACUUAAUCACGAAUGGAGCUGCUGCUGAACCUCACUUGCAACCAGCAAGCAGGCUGGACAGACACGGGAAGCACUGCCUGCAGCAGCAGCAGCUGAGCUCCGUGUGCCAGAGGAAGGAACGCGGCAUCUGGAGGAGCAGGAAGAGGAGACCCCGCGUGACUCUGUGUGUUCUGCAGGGCCGUUCCUCACAGACUGCCGCUGACAGACGCUGGGGCACUGCAGAGGAGGAGGUCCUGAUGAUGGCACAGGCAGUAAACAGCCCGGAGCUCAUCGCUGGGGAGAGGCUGCGCAUUGCGUUGUGAAGGGAGAGAUGGAGGAGGGGUUUGAACAGCGUCGUGCAGGAAUGGAAAGCUAGUAAGAGAAGAGGGCUGUUCUGAGAGCAAGGGCUGUCCGGCUCAUCUCUGUGUUCUCCCAGGAAAUGCAAGGCAGAGCUCUCUGCUCUCUGUUUUUCUUGCAAGGCUGCGGCCCUUCAAAGUGCGCUGUGGAUGGGUAGCGCGAUGACAGCCCAAGGAUGGCAGCAGGAGAUGCAGCGCAGCCCUCUCCAGCAACAAGGCAGGAGGCGGGCAGCGGUACUGCAGCUCCUCUGGCAGCUUUGCAGCGGAGUUGGGAAGCAGAAGAUGUGCAUUUGAAAGAAGAACUCAGUUCCUGGGACAUUCCCCUGUUCUUCCCCUAGCUGUCCCCUUGCCUCAGCCCAAAUUCCCUUUGCAUUCCUGUAGGUUUCCCUUUCAUGCCCCUGGCUGCCACUUGUUUUCCCCAAGUUUGCCCUUUCCUUUCCCAUGAAGCUCACCCAUAAUUCCCUCAGAGCCCCAAUAACCCACUCAGUAUUUCCCCAGCAAGAUCCCUGUAGGCACUCCGCAGCCCCCCACAGACCCCCAUAGCCCCUUCAGGACCUCCUCAGUCCUGGCACACCUCCCCCAUAGCUGCCUGGAAACAUCCCAUACCUCCACAGACCCAGCAGCACUCCUUGUCCCUUACUGGACUCCCACUGAGCCCUCUUAUUUCCUCCCUCUGUCCUCCCUUGCCACUUCCAGGAUCCCCCUGGGAUCUCACAGACCCCCACAGUCCCUGACAGGACCCAGGUCACCAUUCCAGGAAUCCCGUAGACCACCUGGGGCCCCUCCUCACCCCCAUGUCUCCCCAGAUCCCAUACAAUCGCACAAUGAUGGGUCAGGGCUGCCUGCUGCAGGAGAGGAAUUUGGAGCUGGAGAAGGGGUAGGGUACAGAUGUGGGUAAAAGUGAUGUGUGGGGCAUUGGAGAUAUGGGGGCACAGGAACAUGGGAGGACAUGGGGAUAUAGGAGUGCUGCACAGCAGAAGGCAACGUGUGAGGUAAAGGUGGGACUUGUGGGCACGGGGACAUGGGGUGGCAUGGGGACGUAGCGGGUCUGGGGGCAUGUGGGGAAGGGUUUGGGGUCAGAAUGAGGGAUGUGGGGCAGUGUUGGAGUGCACGUAUUGAUUUCUUCCUGAGAGGGGGUUGGGGUCCCCUGUGGCCCAAAGGUGGAGCCCUGAUCCAUAACCCCACAUGACCCCAUAACCCCAUAGAACUCGGCAUGACCCCAAGGCUCCACAUGACCCAUAGCCCUGUGAGCACCAUCAGCCCAUAUGAGGCUGUGGACAGUGAUGGGUCUGUUCUUGGGUUCUUCAGGGGGUACUGUAGGGUGGCUGUUGGGCUGUUGUCUCUAUCUGCUCCUGUGCCUCAUCUUGCCCACAUCUUGGGGAGCAUGAUGGGGGUCAAAAGUGCAAUGGGGGGCUAUGGGGUAGGUCCCACGAUGGGAGCAGAUUCACCACCAGCUGCGUGUGAGGGAACAACAGCCCCACUGAGCUGUGGGUAUGUCCCAUAGCUGCCCCAUAGCAGCCCCAGAGCCAUCCUAGAGCAGCCCCAGAACAGCCCCAUCGCUGCCCACAGCCUGUGGCCAGCAGCAGUUCCACCACAACGGUGUGUUGGGUAAAGGCAGCUCCUAGGUGUGGCUCUGCCCCAUAGCUGCCCCAGAGUGCCCCUAUAGCCCUCCCAUAGGUGUCCUUUAACUGCCCCACAACCCUGUACGACUUACCCACAUCCCAGCAGAUCCCCCCAGGUGCCUUUGGGAUGUGCAAGAAACACUCUCAUCUGAUGUUCCAUUAGGCACAGUUCUCGGUGCAGCAGCAAAGCUCAUUUCUUAUUGCUCAGAUGAUUUCCAGCAGCACACAGGUGACACACAGGGCCAUGCUGACCACGGCAGGGUGCAGCUUCUUGUUGCAGAGUCCUGUAGUGGUGGGUGACCGUGCAAAAGGGGAAUCCCACUGCUGAUGUUCUCCAUCCUUCUCCUUCUGCACCACCAUGCAUUCCUUCCUCCUCGUGCUGCGCUGCCAUCAGAGUUCUUCCUGCUCCAACAGCCCCAAUCUGGGAUACCUUUUUUGUAAGGAGUUCUGCUGUUUGUUCUGCAGCUGACUUGAAUUUCUUCUCCCGCUGUCUUGUGAAGGAGUUGAUUUGCUUCAGUCCAUCCCAGCUCCAUUCCUGGUUCAAGUCUCCCUCACUGCCAUGCAGCACUGCAGCAGCCAAGCUCCAGUCCCUUCCCCAGCCUCAGUGGGAUCAGUUUGUUCUGUUCUCGUCCACUUAGAGGAACAGAAGCUACCAACCCACCAACCCUUGUGACAGGUAUUUCCCUGCAGAAGCAUUCCUGUCCUUCUUGUGGCCCCUUUGUCCAGUUCCCAGCUCUCCAUACUGUGGAGUAUGGCUGCAGCCCACCUCAUGGCUUCUUUGGGGCAGCUCUGGGGCAGCCACACCCCGAGGAAGGAGGAGAUGCCUUUUCCUCAUACACAGCUGGUUCUAUGGCCACAUGGGGGGAGGACAUGGGGUCGUGGGUCACAUAGGGGUUUGUGCAGGGUCAAAGAGCUGUAGGUUUAUGUGGGGUUAUGGGGUGGCUCAGUGUUAUGGGGUCAGAUGGGGUUAUGGAUCACAGUGAUGGGGUCAUAUGGGAUGGUAGGGUCGUGGGGUGACAUGGAGUUAUGGGCCACAUGGGUUAUAUAGUCAAGGUGAGGUGGGGGCAAGGAUCCCAGAGUUCUGGGGCCACAUGUUUUGGGGUUGCAGUGUGAUGGGGGCAGGCAGGGUCAGGGAGUCACAGGGACACGUAGGGGUAUGGUUCACACAGGGCUGUGGGUCACGUGCAGCCAUGGGGUCACACACAUACAGGGUUAUGUGGUCACCUUGGGUUAUGGCUCAUGUGGGGUUAUGGCUCAGGGCCCAACCUCUGGGCCACAGGGACCCCCAGUCCAGUCUCACAAAGAAAGAAAUGCGCUCCAACACCGCCCCACACCCCCUUUUUUACCCCAAAAUGCUCCCCACAUCCCCCCGUUCCCCCUGUGUCCUCAUACAACUCCAUACCCCGUGUCCUACCUCCAGCCAACAUCCUGCCUUCUCAAGAGCAGCAUUCUGCCCCCACAGGCUGUGUUUUCAUAUCCAGCCCAUGUCCCUAUAUUCCCCAUAGCACCCCACAGAGCCCCAGAUCUCCUCAAGGACUUUCUCAGACUCAGUACGCCUCCCCCAAAGUCUGCCUGGUACCUCACAGAGCCCCACAGUCCCCAGCAGCACCCCAUGUCCCCCACUGGGCUCCCUUUCAACCCCAUAUUUCCUCCCUCGGACCCCCCUGACCCAUUCCAGGCCCCCCCUGGGAUCUCACAGCCCCCCACAGUCCCUGACAGGACCCCCAUCACCGUCCCAGGCCCCCCAUAGCCCACCCGGGGCUCUGGUGCUGAACCCGGCAUCCUCAGGGAGCUGUGCCGCAGUGCUUCACCCUGAGCCCUUGUGCAGUGCUGCAGAUCCCAGGGCAGUGGGUGCUGCUCUGCAUGUCCCCGCCCGGCCCAGGAACGCCACCCCUGCGCUGUCUGUGAAAGUCUUGUCUUGGCUCCUGGCACAUCUUCCAUCUGCAGAGCACAUGAGGAGUGUCCCUCAGACUGUGGCUCCGGGUUAACCCUGCAGUGUCCAAACGAGGAAUCCCGCAGCAACCCGCAUCUCAGGAUGGGGCUGCAGCUGUGCCCCAGUGCCUUCAUUAAAGGUGUCCUUGCACACGUGCAUGUGUUUGCACACAGGGUGUGUGGAUACACGUGCGUGUGCAUGCACAGGGGUGCAGCAGCUCUGCCUCCGAGCCUCGUGGGCCCGCAGGAGACACAUGGCUGUGGAGGUGGCUGGGAGCGCACUGCUGGCUGCAGAGCUGCUGGGUGGUGACAGUUUGAAGGGUGAGCGGGGAAGGGGGCCCCUUCCAUAGCAUCACAGAAUCACUCAGGCUGGAAAAGACCUUCAAGAUCAUCAAGUCCAACCACAACCUAACCAUCCUAC